GAGUUUGAUCCUGGCUCAGAACGUACGCUGGCGGCACGCCUAACACAUGCAAGUCGAACGAAGUAGCAAUACUUAGUGGCAGACGGGUGAGUAACAUGUAGGUAUCUGCCCUUUGGCCUGGAAUAACACGAGGAAACUUGUGCUAAUACCGGAUAAGUCUUUACGGAGAAAGCUUUAUGCACCAUUGGAUGAGCCUGCACUUGAUUAGUUUGUUGGUGGGGUAAUGGCCUACCAAGACUGUGAUCAAUAGCUGAUUUGAGAGGAUGAUCAGCCACAUUGGGACUGAGACACGGCCCAAACUCCUACGGGAGGCAGCAGUGGGGAAUCUUGCACAAUGGAGGAAACUCUGAUGCAGCGAUGCCGCGUGAGUGAAGGAGGCCCUUGGGUUGUAAAGCUCUUUCGUCGGGGAAGAAAAUGACUGUACCCGAAUAAGAAGGUCCGGCUAACUUCGUGCCAGCAGCCGCGGUAAUACGAAGGGACCUAGCGUAGUUCGGAAUUACUGGGCUUAAAGAGUUCGUAGGUGGUUGAAAAAGUUAGUGGUGAAAUCCCAGAGCUUAACUCUGGAACUGCCAUUAAAACUUUUCAGCUAGAGUAUGAUAGAGGAAAGCAGAAUUUCUAGUGUAGAGGUGAAAUUCGUAGAUAUUAGAAAGAAUACCAAUUGCGAAGGCAGCUUUCUGGAUCAUUACUGACACUGAGGAACGAAAGCAUGGGUAGCGAAGAGGAUUAGAUCCCUCGUAGUCCAUGCCGUAAACGAUGUGUGUUAGACGUUGGAAAUUUAUUUUCAGUGUGCAGGAAACCGAUAAACACACCGCCUGGGGAGUACGACCGCAAGGUUAAAACUCAAAUGAAUUGACGGGGACCCGCACAAGUAGUGGAGCAUGUGGUUUAAUUCGAAGAUACGCGCAGAACCUUACCAACACUUGACAUGUUCGUCGCGACUCUAGAGAU
rnacentral:rRNA from 1 species